GCCCUACGGGGCGCAGCAGUGGGGGAUAUUGCACAAUGGGGGAAACCCUGAUGCAGCAACGCCGCGUGAGUGAAGAAGUAUUUCGGUAUGUAAAGCUCUAUCAGCAGGGAAGAGAAUGACGGUACCUGACUAAGAAGCCCCGGCUAACUACGUGCCAGCAGCCGCGGUAAUACGUAGGGGGCGAGCGUUAUCCGGAUUUACUGGGUGUAAAGGGAGUGCAGGCGGUUCAAUAAGUCUGAUGUGAAAGCCUU
rnacentral:rRNA from 1 species